rnacentral:lncRNA from 10 species
UUUUUCCAUUCAUCUGAUGAUGGACUUUUGGGUUGCUUCCACCUCUUGACUAUUGGCAUAGCCCCAUUUUUAAAAUAUUGCAAUUUAAUUUAACUCUUACCUUCUCAUUCCCUCUGGUGGAUUUAAUAAAUGCAAUAUCAUCUGUAAGGCACGUGUUCCAAUAAGGAAGAGAAUGUAGCAUGAGAAGAGAGUUGAAGGCAGAACCCUAGGGAACCCAGUUCUUUUAAGAUGCCAGGAAACUAAUAAGAAGGAGGACGAUAAGGAAGGAUCAGUGGGAAAGAAGAAGCCCCAGGGAUAGGAGCGCUUCCAAGAGGAAGAAGACAAAGGUCAGAAAGUACAAGGAGGCCAAGUAAGAUGGAAAGCUGAAUUUUCCAGUGACUGUCCCAUGAAGUUGCCACUUCACAAGGUAUCAGAUGAUGAUGACGAUGAUGAUGAUGAUGAUGAUGAUGAUGAUGAUGAUGAUGAUGAUGGUGAUCAUAUCCAGAGAGAAGCAAAGUGAAUGUGCCCUGGACAACUUUCAGGAAGACAGUUCUGGUCUGUAGCAAUUAACACAUGGUCAUCCUCAGAAAAAGGUCCUCUCAAUUAUUUCCCAGAGAUACCCAUAACUUAAAAUGCAGGAACCAAGAGAUUUGAGCCUAGACAUUUGGAUGAAAAGCGAUUUCCACCUGGAGAAAGUCACUGCCCUUCUGUGCAGAGUACCAUUGUGUCUUGAAUCCAGCUUGGCCAUAAGGAAAUGGGGCGAGACUUUGUCAUGUAUGUCGCUGAAGUUCAGCUAUGCAAAAAUGUUCACCUAUCCUUGAUCAACCAGUCCAGGAACCAUCAAAGAAGAAAAUGAGAUUCGACUUAGAAGACCUGUUCUUUAUAAACCCCUGCACAGCCCUAAUGAUCAACACCACUUCCAGUGCUCAUAAAUUACUGCUUCAAUAAUUGUUCUGCAAUUCUGCCUAUUCUCAUUGAAUGCUUCGUAUAAUCCCUUUAUUUACUUUGGGCUACGAUUCAUUUUUAUCAGUCAAAUGACUACUAGACUAUCCUGGUUUCUAAUUUGAAAUGUAUCCAAAGAAGAUUCCUGUCUCACCCUCUGCAAUCCACUUGCAUGUCUGACCACACUCGGUGCCUACACAAUCUUCACUUUGUCUAGCCUAAAUUCUUCUAACUGUGGCCUAAGGCCUUGGAAGAAUGAUGCCUCUGUGGGGUAAGAACUGCCUUCGUGGCAUAAGAAAGGCAGACCUGGGUGAUCUGGAAGGGCUGUUGCAAGGGGAUAGGAGUGCUGAGGCCUUUUCCAUUAAGAAUACACAGGACUAUGGAGACUCUUGUUUUACUAGAAACUUCUUCACAGAUACCUUAAAUUAGGAAGAAAAUGCCUUUGGUUCUUGGUUCUACUAUUGGCUUCAAAUUCUUAGGCAUGCCAGACCCUACUGAACAUCUUGACACAUGUCCUUUCUUCUCUGAACUGGCGCACAGGCAUGGUGAGUAACU